ACAUAAAAACAGGGGCGCUGAGGGGCAUCCUCGGCUGAGAUCGAAACAAACCGCAGUUUCGGGUCGCCUUGAACCUGAUCCGGGCAAUGCCGGCGUAGGAAGUUUGACCCAACACGUC
rfam:Subdoligranulum sp. 60_17 Ley3_66761_scaffold_1002, whole genome shotgun sequence.